GCUACGGGUGGCAGCAGUGGGGAAUAUUGCACAAUGGGGGAAACCCUGAUGCAGCGACGCCGCGUGAGUGAAGAAGUAGCUCGGUAUGUAAAGCUCUAUCAGCAGGGAAGAAAAUGACGGUACCGGACUAAGAAGCCCCGGCGAACUACGUGCCAGCAGCCGCGGUAAUACGUAGGGGGCAAGCGUUAUCCGGAUUUACUGGGUGUAAAGGGAGCGUAGACGGCGCUGCAAGUCCGGAGUGAAAGCCCAUGGCUUAACCAUGGUACUGCUCUGGAAACUGUGGAGCUUGAGUGCGGGAGGGGCAGGCUGACUUCCUAGUGUAGCGGUGAACUGCGUAGAUAUUAGGCGGACCCCCGGCGGCGAAGGCGGCCUGCUGGACCGUAACUGCCGUUGCGGCUCGAACGCGUGGGGAGCAAACAGGAUUAGAUACCCGAGUAGUC
rnacentral:rRNA from 1 species